UACGGGGGGGGUAAGCGUUGUUCGGAAUUAUUGGGCGUAAAGAGCUCGUAGGCGGUUUGUCGCGUCUGCCGUGAAAGUCCGGGGCUCAACUCCGGAUCUGCGGUGGGUACGGGCAGACUAGAGUGAUGUAGGGGGAGACUGGAAUUCCUGGUGUAGCGGUGAAAUGCGCAGAUAUCAGGAGGAACACCGAUGGCGAAGGCAGGUCUCUGGGCAUUAACUGACGCUGAGGAGCGAAAGCAUGGGGAGCGAACAGG
rnacentral:rRNA from 1 species